CCUACGGGCGGCAGCAGUAAGGAAUAUUGGUCAAUGGGCGAAAGUCUGAACCAGCAAAGCCGCGUGAAGGAUGACGGCUUUCUGAGUUGAAACUCCCUUUUUUAGAGGAGAAAAUGACGGUAGCUAGCGUAUAUGCACCGGCUAACUCCGUGCCAGCAGCCGCAGUACGACGGAGGGUGCAAGCGUUACUCGGAUUCACUGGGCGUAAAGGGAGCGUAGGCGGGAUAUCAAGUCAGAUGUGAAAUCCUACGGCUCAACCAUAGAACUGCAAUUGAAACUGUCAGUCUAGAGUAUGGUAGAGGUAGGCGGAAUUCGUGGUGUAGGGGUAAAAUCCGUAGAGAUCACGAAGAACACUGAUUGCGAAGGCAACCUGCUAGACCAUAACUGACACUGAUGCGCGAAAGUGUGGGGAGCAAACAGGAUUAGAUACCCGUGUAGUC
rnacentral:rRNA from 1 species